AUCAAUAAUGAAGCAUAGGGUUUACACAGCGCGCAACGUGCGAUAGCAAUAUAUAUCAAGCGGUGUAUAUUUAUGAUUAUUAUCCCUCUCGCUCGCUUGCCGUCGUCGUGUUCGUGUACGGAAAGCGCGCCGCCAGGAGAUCGAGAAUGAGGAUACACCAUUGUACUCCAACAUCAUCAUCAGUGCAUAUAAUACGUAUGUGCCGAGUGCUUGUAUUCUUCUGCGGGUGAAAAGUGUAAUAUACUUGGGAUAUACUUGACUAUAUGCUGCAGUGGAUUUCCUGUUUGCUGUGCGAACACGACGGAGGCAAUCCUUUGUUAGUUAUGAACAAAUAAAACCGAACACGCCUGCUUCCUAUUUUGAUUUCUCAAGUCUAAUACGUGUACACACUACACGAUGAUACCAGUGAAACUCCUCUGCUACUCCGCGAUAACGCUAUGCUUCAACGGCGCUGUCCUGCGCCGGUACCUCCGGGAGGAGCUACGCCUGGCGUUCCCAUACACCUUCCUCGUGCUUCUGCCAACGAUUGCCCAGCCAUUUUGCCAGUUAUUUCUCGGUGGAUUUUGCGGAGUAACAGUUUUUGCCGUAGCUUGUUAUUACCUCUUUAGGAAUUUACCGCAACAAUGGCUGGAUCCAAGAGGAAAAGCAAUAUUUGUUACAGCCGAUGUGCAGCACCAGAUCGACGAGGCUCGAGAUCCCUGAAAUGUUGAACGCCGAACAGGGUAGCAGCAACUCCCAUCUUUUAACGUCUUCCGGUCUGACGCGGUCGGGGUUUGAACUCCCGACCUCCAGGUUGUGAGACGGACGCUCUACCAACUGAGCCAACACACCGGCUAAUAAUAAUGAUGAUGAUGAUGAUGAUGAUAAUAAUAAUAAUAAUGAUAAUAAUAAUAACUAAUAACAAUAGAAAUAAUAAUAAUGGUAUGUAGAAGAAUAUAUAAAUGUGUAAAAAAAAAAAAAAAAAAAGUUGUUGACGUUAUUUCAUUUCAUGAUAUUCAAGAAUCAUUCAUUAAUUUGGCAUUGAAAUAUUAGGGAAAUGAUGAAUUCUUAUCAUUUUUUUUUACUUCAACCUUAAACCUCCUAUACCAGCACAACUAUUAAUAGGCCUAUAGAUGGUAGAGAUAAAGCCAAUAACGCAGGUGCAUAUCCGAGUGUUAAAUUUUAUAGACCUAUGUAAAGUAGACACGAAGCCUAUUUCACUUUCGUAUAUAUGUAACCAAAUUGUGGCAAAGAGCAACCUGUACAAGGAAUAAGUUAACAUGAUUGGGUAAGCCAUUGACCAUGCUAGCAACGGACGGGCAGCGAAUUUCAAUGGGGGGAGGGGGGGGGGUGAAUAUUCAUAAAAUCACAAUUUGAUGAUGGUAAUUCUCACGUUUUUGUGCGUGGUCAAUGAGAAAAAAAAAGAAUAUUUUGUUUGGGGGUGUGGUAAAGGAUUUGUUUGUUUUGUUUUGUUGAUGUUGUGUUUUGUUUUCGUGUGUGCUUUAUAUAUAAAAUCUUUAUUCAGAUUAUUGUAUACUUUCUAAGAAUAAACAGAGACUUUUUUUGUAUUGUCUUACAAAAGUUGGAGGCAUGGAUAUACAUGUAUAAGUACCUUUUUUAUUAUGGGAUAACCUCUUCACUUUAAAAGUCUUUACUUUUCUCAUACAAUACGGUAUUAUUAUACAGUAAAUACAUGUGAAAUUACGAGGUUUUUGUUAUUGGUAUUAUGGGUUAUGAUAUUUGUUCGAAAAAUUUAUAUCAAAAUGUAUAUUAUUUCAUUUGUUAUAUUGCUGUAUACGUGUGCUUCACUUUAAUUUGUAUACUGUACAUGUAUUUGAUUUAUUACCCUUGUAUGUAUGAAAAAUGUGAUAGUAUCUGAAUAAAGGCUAAAAAAGCAACAACAACAAAAGAAAAAAAGUGUGUGAAGUAGUAGGGAGAGCUUCCCAUCCCCCGUUCCGCGGCUUCUGAUUAGAAUAUGAGAUAGAGAAGUUUACUUAGUUCACCUGAUUGUUGUGCAACACAGGGAACCAUAUCAUAAACCACUUACAAAAUUAGAGCGUGCGCAGUUCCCCGAAUUUUUAUAUUUCCAGUAAUCAGGUCAAUAUGUUAUUCAUAAAAAGCAUGAUUCUCUCUGAAAGAUCGUAUAUAUACACACAGCUUUAUCUGGAUCAGAAAUGUACAAAAUGGACUUUGUUAAUUAUGGUAUACUUUUGCCUAUAUCCUAUGAUAAGGCCUAUAAUUUGCAGUCUUGAGAAGCCUUAUGGAUUCUUAUUAUUGUAGUAUUUUAUGUUAAAGUAUGAUAUGCACGGGCGGCGAUCCUGGUGAGGGGAGGGGGCGUGCCCCCUCUCGAAUUUCGAAUUUGAUCCGCCUUGAGGGCCCCAAAAUAUUAUGAAAUCGGCGCGCAAGAUGAUAACAGUAUGUAUGCCGAUAAACAUGAGGAAGACCUAUAGGAAGAAAAUGCAUAUUUUACACAUAAAAGAAGUUAAAAAUUUGCAGUCAAACUUUGCCUAAACAAUUAUCCAAGAUAUGCAGACGUUGAUCGUCAUUAAAAAUGUGGUGUAGUGCAUGUUAUCAACUACUUCACAUAUCUCGUGCACUUCCUUGUAAUCCCCAUCAUGUAUUUGUUUUCACUAUCUUAUAUUUGGCUAAAUUUGAAUUUUAGAUUGCAGGACGAGGAAGUAAUUACUUAGUUUAUAUAUAUUUAUAAAUAUGCUCGAAGAUGAAAUAGUAAUUAUAUUACUUUAGGGCCUACAUUUCAUAUGAUGCAUAUGAUUUGUAUAAUAAUGUAUAUAUUACAUAAUGUAAAUAUUGUUAUUUGUUUGUUUGUUUGUUUGUUUUUACAAAAGAGCAAUUCAGUUGCUAUAAACACGUAAUUACAGCAUUAGGGGGGGGGCCUACAUUAUACAAGCUCUGCUUAUCAGUUGGCCCUCCCUCCCUUUCAAUUAUUUAUAUUUCGAUUUGAUAAUUGUCUAUUGUAAUUUUAUAAUGUUAUCAAUUUUUUGUAUGUACUUCAAAUGUGAUUAUAUGUUACUAUGUCAAUCGUAUCAAAAAUUGUAAAUAUGAAAUUGAAAGUGGAAAAUAAAAUGAUUGAAUUGAA